AUUGAACGCUGGCGGCAUGCUUUACACAUGCCAGUCGAACGGUAACAGGCCGCAAGGUGCUGACGAGUGGCGAACGGGUGAGUAAUGCAUCGGAACGUGCCCAGUCGUGGGGGAUAACUACUCGAAAGAGUAGCUAAUACCGCAUACGAUCUAUGGAUGAAAGCGGGGGACCGUAAGGCCUCGCGCGAUUGGAGCGGCCGAUGUCAGAUUAGGUAGUUGGUGGGGUAAAGGCUCACCAAGCCAACGAUCUGUAGCUGGUCUGAGAGGACGACCAGCCACACUGGGACUGAGACACGGCCAAGACUCCUAAGGGAGGCAGCAGUGGGGAAUGUUGGACAAUGGGCGCAAGCCUGAUCCAGCAAUGCCGCGUGCAGGAAGAAGGCCUUCGGGUUGUAAACUGCUUUUGUACGGAACGAAACGGCUCUGGUUAAUACCCGGGGCUAAUGACGGUACCGUAAGAAUAAGCACCGGCUAACUACGUG
rnacentral:rRNA from 1 species